CUUCAAGUUCCAGAGGAUGAUCAAGAUGAAUGGUAAUAGUCUGUGACCCUCAUGAAAAAUAAUACAUCAAAAUCAGCACAAUGAAGCUGCAAUAAAGGACCUAGAUGAGUUUCCUGAAGAACUCUCUGACUGUACAUUAGUCCUCUCCCAACAAAGAAUGGUAACCAGAUUCACACUCCCUCCCCCUACAUAGACUGGCAGCUCAUGAUCCCAAGGAAGAAGGAGAACUACAGAAGAAGAGAAUGGAGAACACUAUAUGACGGCUUGCACAUGCUGCUCCUUGUGAAAAUGGAAGAAUGCAAACCCAAGCCAAAGUGGAUUCAAGAAACCAGAGAAAUCCAAAAGGCAUGGCCUCCCCCAGCACCAUGAGAAAGAACACAGCAUUGCAGAAACCUGGGUUCUAUUUCAGUAAUACCUCGAUGGGACAAGUAACUUAAACAAAGUGAUACAUUUGUGUUA